rnacentral:snoRNA from 1 species
UUGAUAAUUAAAAUGUGUACACACUUUCCCCAAGGGGGCCUGGCACUCAACGGUUGCAAACAGCAGCCUUCUUGGUAGUGUAUGCAGCCUGUUGCCUAUGUGGGUUGCCCUAAGGAACCUUGGCGACAAAU